rnacentral:rRNA from 1 species
CUACGUGCCAGCAGCCGCGGUAAUACGGAAGGUCCAGGCGUUAUCCGGAUUUAUUGGGUUUAAAGGGAGCGUAGGCCGUGGAUUAAGCGUGUUGUGAAAUGUAGACGCUCAACGUCUGAAUUGCAGCGCGAACUGUCAGACUUGAGUACACGCAGCGCAGGCGGAAUUCAUGGUGUAGCGGUGAAAUGCUUAGAUAUCAUGAGGAACUCCGACCGCGAAGGCAGCCUGCGGGAGUGUUACUGACGCUUAAGCUCGAAGGUGCGGGUAUCGAACAGGAUUAGAUACCCUGGUAGUCCGCACUGUAAACGAUGGAUGCCCGCCGUUGGCGCCCUGCGCCUGCGGCCAAGCGAAAGCAUUAAGCAUCCCACCUGGGGAGUACGCCGGCAACGGUGAAACUCAAAGGAAUUGACGGGGGCCCGCACAAGCGGAGGAACAUGUGGUUUAAUUCGAUGAUACGCGAGGAACCUUACCCGGGCUUGAAUUGCAGUCGCUGCCCACAGAGA